GGUGCUUGCACCUUUCAAGUGAGUGGCGAACGGGUGAGUAACACGUGGACAACCUGCCUCAAGGCUGGGGAUAACAUUUGGAAACAGAUGCUAAUACCGAAUAAAACUUAGUGUCGCAUGACACAAAGUUAAAAGGCGCUUUGGCGUCACCUAGAGAUGGAUCCGCGGUGCAUUAGUUAGUUGGUGGGGUAAAGGCCUACCAAGACAAUGAUGCAUAGCCGAGUUGAGAGACUGGAUCGGCCACAUUGGGACUGAGACACGGCCCAAACUCCUACGGGAGGCUGCAGUAGGGAAUCUUCCACAAUGGGCGAAAGCCUGAUGGAGCAACGCCGCGUGUGUGAUGAAGGCUUUCGGGUCGUAAAGCACUGUUGUAUGGGAAGAACAGCUAGAAUAGGGAAUGGAUUUUAGUUUGACGGUACCAUACCAGAAAGGGACGGCUAAAUACGUGCCAGCAGCCGCGGUAAUACGUAUGUCCCGAGCGUUAUCCGGAUUUAUUGGGGCGUAAAGCGAGCGCAGACGGUUGAUUAAGUCUGAUGUG
rnacentral:rRNA from 1 species